rnacentral:rRNA from 1 species
GUAGGGAAUCUUCCACAAUGGACGAAAGUCUGAUGGAGCAACGCCGCGUGAGUGAAGAAGGUCUUCGGAUCGUAAAGCUCUGUUGUUGGUGAAGAAGGAUAGAGGCAGUAACUGGUCUUUAUUUGACGGUAAUCAACCAGAAAGUCACGGCUAACUACGUGCCAGCAGCCGCGGUAAUACGUAGGUGGCAAGCGUUGUCCGGAUUUAUUGGGCGUAAAGCGAGCGCAGGCGGUUUAAUAAGUCUGAAGUUAAAGGCAGUGGCUUAACCAUUGUUCGCUUUGGAAACUGUUAAACUUGAGUGCAGAAGGGGAGAGUGGAAUUCCAUGUGUAGCGGUGGAAUGCGUAGAUAUAUGGAAGAACACCAGUGGCGAAGGCGGCUCUCUGGUCUGCAACUGACGCUGAGGCUCGAAAGCAUGGGUAGCGAACAGGAUUAGAAACCCCAGUAGUCC